rnacentral:rRNA from 1 species
GUAGGGUGCGAGCGUUAAUCGGAAUUACUGGGCGUAAAGCGUGCGCAGGCGGUUCGUUGUGUCGGUGGUGAAAUCCCCGGGCUUAACCUGGGAAUGGCCAUGGAAACUGGCGAACUGGAGUGUGGCAGAGGGGGGUGGAAUUCCGCGUGUAGCAGUGAAAUGCGUAGAGAUGCGGAGGAACACCGAUGGCGAAGGCAGCCCCCUGGGCUAGCACUGACGCUCAGGCACGAAAGCGUGGGGAGCAAACAGGAUUAGAUACCCUGGUAGUCCACGCCCUAAACUAUGUCAACUGGGUGUUCGGGAAGCGAUUUCUGAGUACCGUAGCUAACGCGUGAAGUUGACCGCCUGGGGAGUACGGCCGCAAGGUUA